rnacentral:rRNA from 1 species
UACGGAGGGUGCGAGCGUUGUCCGGAAUUACUGGGCGUAAAGGGCUCGUAGGUGGCCAACUAAGUCAGACGUGAAAUCCCUCGGCUUAACCGGGGAACUGCGUCUGAUACUGGACGGCUUGAGUUUGGGAGAGGGACGCGGAAUUCCAGGUGUAGCGGUGAAAUGCGUAGAUAUCUGGAGGAACACCGGUGGCGAAGGCGGCGUCCUGGACCAACACUGACACUGAGGAGCGAAAGCCAGGGGAGCAAACGGG